rnacentral:tRNA from 1 species
GAGGGUAUAGCUCAAGUGCUAGAGAGCAUGCUUAGCAUGCACAAGGUCCUGGGUUCAAUCCCCAGUACCUCCU